AAGCGGACGAAGGUUGUAUCUUCGUAUAGAUCGGAGAUUGAGUAGAGUGUUACUUACUGCCAAGGAAAAUUUACUUCCGGUACGACACAUAAGAGAACAUCGAAGUGACUGAAAGCAUGAGACUUAAGGAAGUUGAUGCCGAUUAGUUGAAUCGAUAGCGAAACUGUAGUUAUUCUACUGCGUUUUGUACGUAGAUAAUUUCGUCCAAAUUGUGGAAAUGUGUAAAGAGUAGUAAGUUAAUUUUCCAAUAUCUCCAAUAGACACAGAGAUACACAAAGAGGUAAGAUGUCUUAACACGUUCGCCCCCACAUGUUGUGCAAAAACCUGCAAUGGCUUAUUUUCGCGUGUGGGGUAGACAUCGAUAAAAGUUGGAAGAUAAGAAGAUAGAGGUUUUUAAUUUUCUUCAAAUUUUCAUCUAGAGUUUACCCUGAAAUUAACAUACCCACAAAUACAGAGCCCCCUAACCUCGCCCCUAACAGUCACCAACCCACUUUCUAUGGAAAGCAUAGGGCUAAGAGCGGUCCAUGUACUGCGGGUCACUACGUACCAGUCACGUGGACAUCCCCCAUCGUAGAAACAAGCGAAGAUCUCCUCUAGGGUUACCGCUGCUAAUACCGUAGACCUAAAUUCCUACCGCUGUUAAUAGCGUAGGACUACCACCGCUCCUACAGCGUGGCAAUAUUCCAAGAGUUGCCGCUGCUAAUAACUGCACCUCUCAUAUAUCGUGGACGUAUCACAGCGACCUCCACCUACGACCCCAACGAGGGAGAAGAAACAUCAAAGGAACGCGCUAAGAAGCUUUCUUAGACGGUCUCCACUAUCACAGUCAAUACCACCUUUGCCACCGACUCCAAAGCGUCUUCACAGAGAUGAAAUCCGUUGGGAGCUGGUGGAGUGGACUACUGUUGCAGUUUCAUACGAGUUUCUGUCGAGUCAGUUUACAGGAUCCUCGACCUUUCCCCGUUCGUUCAUUGUUUCGCUGUUUACGUUUACCAAAAUGUUCAAAUUGGAAGUUUUGUUAAUGUUUAUUUAGAUUGUUCAUUGUUAUUAAUUAGUGUUACAUUCUUGUAUUCAUAAACCCGUUAAUGACCUAAUGCACACUAAAAUUCGUAUACCUAAUAAGAAAACCGCAUUCUU